GAAAAGUUCACCAAUGUAAAACGUUGAACCACGGGAACACGAACAAAAGAGACGUAAUUUAUCAAAUGUCCGAUGGCGGAGGACUCCCUAACCUUGAAAAGUGAUGGAUGAAUUCUCUCACACACUAAAGCACAAACAUUUAAAACUUCAACCCAAAAAAGGAAACCAAAAUUUACCAAACAGUAAUCUGGGGAAAAUAAAUUCAACAAACACCACAAAAGAUUAAGAUCCUUAAUUGAGGAAGACCUUAUCGAAUGAGAGCACAGGGCUUGGGUAAAGUUCAACACUGUCAAGCUUACAUCUAUGGAUCUCCUUCCGUGUGUCCAGCCCUGGCGAGUGAAGUGGAAAGGCCACGUGAGGACGCAGUGCGAAGGUGGCCAUCUGCAAGCCAGGAAGAGAGCCCUUACCAGAAUCUGAACCCUGACCUGGCACUUUCAGGCUCCAGAACUGUGAGAAGUAAAUUUCUGUUGUAUAAGCCAUCUAGUGUGUGGUAUUUUGUUAUGACAGCCUGACUGACUAAGACACAGACCUUCUCCCUAG
rnacentral:lncRNA from 1 species